AGGAGCAGCAGGAGCAGGAAGAGAAAGAAGAGAAGGAGGAGGAGCAAGAAGAGGAAGAGGAGAAGGCAAUGGUGGCAGCAAGAGGCCCUGAGUUGGACAAGUCUCUGCCGUCUACUCCACCGUGCCAUUGUGCCAAGAUGUUCUGCCUCUCCAAGGCCAAGAGCGACUUUCCUCCGCCCAGACCCUCCCACCAUGCCACUUUGGUCUUAAACAGUCCACGAUGGACUGAAACCUCUAAAAAUAUGUGAGCUAAAAUAAGCCUUUCCUCCUUUCAGCUAUGUCAGGUAUUGUGUCCUAGUGAUGGGAAAGUGAUUAAAAUACAUAGUGUGAUGGUUAA